GCGGCCGUAGCUUAGCGGCUAAAGCGUCUCGUUGUGGCCGAGAAGAUCGUGGGUUCAAAUCCCAUCGGUCGCC
rnacentral:tRNA from 1 species